rnacentral:pre_miRNA from 1 species
CAAGUACUCCCUCCGCCCGGAAUUACUUGUCAUCAAAAUGGAUGUGUCUAGAACUAAAAUACUUCUAGAUACAUCCAUUUGAAUGACAAGUAUUUUCGGAUGGAGGGAGUAUAAG